AACGCUGGCGGCGUGCGUAACACAUGCAAGUCGAACGAGAAUGUACUGACAGAUCCUUAGGGUGAAGAUAGUACAGGACAGUGGCGGAUGGGUGAGUAACGCGUAAGAAACCUGCCUUUCACACCGGGAUAGCAGCUGGAAACGGCUAUUAAUACCGGAUGACACUUUUUCCCCGCAUGAGGAAGAGGUUAAAGAAUUUCGGUGAAAGAUGGUCUUGCGUCUGAUUAGCUAGUUGGUGGGGUAACGGCCUACCAAGGCGACGAUCAGUAGCCGGCCUGAGAGGGUGUACGGCCACAUUGGGACUGAGACACGGCCCAAACUCCUACGGGAGGCAGCAGUGGGGAAUUUUGCACAAUGGAGGAAACUCUGAUGCAGCGACGCCGCGUGAACGAAGAAGGUCUUCGGAUUGUAAAGUUCUGUCCUGGGUGAAGAUAAUGACGGUAACUCAGGAGGAAGCCCCGGCUAACUACGUGCCAGCCGCCGCGGUAA
rnacentral:rRNA from 2 species